CCAGACAGCCAGGAUGUUGGCUUAGAAGCAGCCAUCAUUUAAAGAAAGCGUAAUAGCUCACUGGUCGAGUCGGCCUGCGCGGAAGAUGUAACGGGGCUAAACCAUGCACCGAAGCUGCGGCAGCGACGCUGUGCGUUGUUGGGUAGGGGAGCGUUCUGUAAGCCUGUGAAGGUGGCCUGUGAGGGUUGCUGGAGGUAUCAGAAGUGCGAAUGCUGACAUAAGUAACGAUAAAGCGGGUGAAAAGCCCGCUCGCCGGAAGACCAAGGGUUCCUGUCCAACGUUAAUCGGGGCAGGGUGAGUCGACCCCUAAGGCGAGGCCGAAAGGCGUAGUCGAUGGGAAACGGGUUAAUAUUCCCGUACUUGGUGUUACUGCGAAGGGGGGACGGAGAAGGCUAUGUUGGCCGGGCGACGGUUGUCCCGGUUUAAGCGUGUAGGCUGGUUUUCCAGGCAAAUCCGGAAAAUCAAGGCUGAGGCGUGACGACGAGGCACUACGGUGCUGAAGCAACAAAUGCCCUGCUUCCAGGAAAAGCCUCUAAGCAUCAGGUAACACGAAAUCGUACCCCAAACCGACACAGGUGGUCAGGUAGAGAAUACCAAGGCGCUUGA
rnacentral:rRNA from 1 species